rfam:Aquimarina sp. RZW4-3-2 contig4, whole genome shotgun sequence.
AUUUUCAGGGAAAGAUUUGACUGAUUGCAACCCUCAAGCUUCAUUAUAUGUAUUUAUUAUAAUGUUUAAAAAUGCUAAAGCAGUUCGA